CAGCCGCCGCGGGAAUACAGAGGGUGCGAGCGUUAAUCGGAUUUACUGGGCGUAAAGCGUGCGUAGGCGGCUUUUUAAGUCGGAUGUGAAAUCCCUGAGCUUAACUUAGGAAUUGCAUUCGAUACUGGGAAGCUAGAGUAUGGGAGAGGAUGGUAGAAUUCCAGGUGUAGCGGUGAAAUGCGUAGAGAUCUGGAGGAAUACCGAUGGCGAAGGCAGCCAUCUGGCCUAAUACUGACGCUGAGGUACGAAAGCAUGGGGAGCAAACAGGAUUAGAUACCCGCGUAGUCCUGUCUCUUAUACA
rnacentral:rRNA from 1 species